GUGCAAAGGCUUCCAAAUGCCUUCCACAGAGAUAAAAUCCUACCUACCUGCUUCACUGUCACUGCACCAUGAAUCUGAAUUAUCUUGACUUCUAAUCUGUGAAAUACAGGGUCAGAAAUAAAAAUAUUACCUGCUGUCUAGAAGGCGGCAGCAACUACAGGCAGUUUGGAAAGUUGUUCCAGUUCCUCUGAACAGUAGAAGCAGUGCAAAGUGACCAGCGAUGGAGACUGACGAGUGGAGAGGAGUAUGGAAGAAGCGAAAAUUUAAGCAAAAACUUCUGAAGUCAACAAAAGGAACUGUAUAUUUUUAUUGUAAUGCUAUCUUCUAUGCUCUUUAUCUUCCCCAGCAAUAGAGAAAGCUUGAAGAACUGAUUAAAUGACUCUCAGGAUAACUUUUUGAUCAGGUAAUAUAAAUUGCCAUGGAAGCUGGAGAAGUACAGCUCACAAUAAGGGAGCUAAGAUUCCUCCAGCCCACACAGAGAUUUAAAAUCAAAUCUUGAAGCAUGGAUAAAAAUAUAUACAGAAGGAAUGAAAAACAAUGAGUGCUAAUGCGUCCUACAAUAUUUCCCACAUUAUUUCUCUUCUUGUUGAUCACGGCUGUGAUCUUUUCUUCAUAAUUUUGAAGUCAAACUCUAAGAAAAAUAUGACAACUAUUUUUUUUUUUUGCUUGUUUGUUUGUUUUGAGCCCAUCAGGCUUUUAAGCUGAAGGUUUUACUGCGGAGCACUAUGAUACGUUUACAAUGGCAGCUUCUCAGUCAACGUGUACCUGUGUGCAUUUACAGAAAAACAUGUGCCUCACAAAGUAGAAAAUACAUUUUAAAUUACUUUUUGACGCAUUUUGGCUUGCUUGCAAUUCAUCCUUGCAUUUUCCCUAUUGAAUUAUUUAUUAAUCUCUGGCUGUUUUAUUGAAGGGGUUAUACAGGCAUCACUGAAGACAUUCGAUGAAGAAACUGAACAAAGCUGUCCUGGAGAGACAAGGCUCCACAAAUCAAUUAGCUCUUUCUUUCCAGCAGUGAUAGACAGGGAAAGCCUGUCUUGAGCUUGCAUACUUGGUAAUGGUGCCAGCUGUUGCUUAUAAGCGGUGUGAUGGUGAUUGCUGAUUGCCUUGUGGUGCUGCCUGAGGAAUUACAUGAGUGGCAGGGAGGGAAGAAGAUGUGGCACCUCUCCUGGAGAGUGGUAGCUCAUGUUUAUUAACCAGUCCCUGCUGGUAUGUUUUUUAUUUAGAUUUAAUAUUAAACAAAACACCUGUGCAAAAGCCCAAGAUCCUCUUCAGAAGUAAUUAGAUUUGCAAUUGCUGCCCAGCAGCACAAGGAUGAAUGUACCAAUAAAUGAACUCUGCUAGCCUACGCCAGUGAGAACAGCAAUUUAGCCCAGCAGAUGAAAAUAGAAUUGCAAUGAAGCCUCUCAUUUCCAAGGCCAUCCAAGAAGAGGCAUUCAGCCUUUCCCAGAUGCCUUUGCCAAAGGUUGGUGUUGUUCCUAGUAAGGGAUCUGCACUGGAUUAUUUCAGGUAAGUGGAGGAUGCCCCAUGUUUCUGGGGCUCUCCUGGUGAGCAUCCUGCAGGCUGGCCCUGCUCUUCUUGUUCCAGAGAUGUCUGCUGAGCACAGCUGUGGCUGGGGAGGGAAAUGGCCUGCUGGGUUGUUUAUCUCCUGAAAACACUCUGAGUGCCAGCAUUCAGAGACAGAAAGGGUCGUGUAUUGUGCACUGCGUUCCCUUUGCCUGGUGAGUUUUCUGCUCUGUGAUGUGAUGUAGUUGUCUUCAUUGCUGAGGCUAAGAAACAGAGUGAUCUCCUUUAUAUUUCCGGCACAGUUGUACUUCUGACAGCCAAAGGACUGGAAGGGUGACAGGCAUGUCAAGCUCUACAGCAAUUUCUAAAGUUCUGGGUUUGAACUACGCUAGCUGAAGUUUAGAUGCAGCCCCUUAUCCAACAAACAUAUGUUGGAAGGCUGUCGUGCAUUUACUGUCACUAUCUAUCAAUAAAUGUAAAAGGAUGCUGCUUUCUAGGCCUUGGAAUUCCUUGUGUUUUACAAAUGAUACUUUCUCUAAGAAAUGGCAGGGGUGAUGUAUAUGCGUGUGUGUGAGAUUUUUGCAGACUCCAUAUGCAGAGAAGUAUCUGAAUUCAUAGAAGUGUGAAUACUUCGUGUUUUAUGAAGGCUAUCAGCAGGAAAACAAACAAACAACCACAUCACUGGCAUUCUUAAAAAUAAUAAUAUGAGGAAUUCAUUUUGGCAGAAGGAGAAAUAAGUACCUUCAGGUUAAAUAACUGUAAAUAUAGACAGUUAUUUUUCAGUUGGUUUUCCUAACAAUUCCCUUGUUCAUAUGCAAAUGGACUACAUAAUUUAUACAUCGAUUAUUUACAUAGACUGGAGCGUGGAUGGGCCAUUUGUAGGCAUGGAAUAAUUAACUCUGAGAAACAUAUGAACCAUCUUUUAAAAUGUAAAGUAUCUUGGAUUCCUUCCUCCCCUUUUCCUACCUUUCUUCCUUUCAUCUCGUAUUCUGAAAGUAAGGGAGGUAUGGGGGUGCACAGUAGCUGCCUGUGUGCUCUUUUAACCUGAGGCAAGUAUGAGGUAACUGAGUUACCUCAGACCUCAAUAAAAGGAAGCUGAGAUGAUCCGGGUGACCUUGUAGAUGCUGAGGGCCGGGAGUAAGUCCAUAUGAAGUAUGUGUUCAUUUAGAAACAGCAGCAAGGAAGCAAGCCUAAGAGCAGAUCGCCAGAGAGUUGUGUAAGCAGGGCAUGCCUGGUACAGCAAAACCUAACGUCUCUGAGUGUGGCAAGGGUUGAAGCUUGUAACCUGGAGUGCAGAGUUACAGCUUCCCUAAAGCCAGAAAACUGUGGUUUGCAGAGAGAAAAAGUUCACUAAGUUUAUGUUUGUAUGUUGUGUUAUGGAGUGGUUAAUAGGGUUGUGACACACCAGGGUAAGGCCAUUAACAGAGUAUUUCCAACCUAAUCUGGGGAAGUAGAAAAAGAACCAGUGAGGGAUGAGCUGAUGUUUGAUGUCCAUGAGAAGCUGUCUGUAGGACAGUCAUAAAGCAGUGCUGGCUAAAUAUGUAAGUAGCAAGUCUUGUGCUAAUGUGGCUUCACUAGGAGUUGGUACAUAACAAGCAUUUCUGAAAUAAGAUAAGUAAGUAAAAAUAAUAAAUAAUAAAUAAACCUAAUCACACAGUAAAUAAGUAUUGAGUUUCAUGAUUAAUUUUGUUAUGCAUAUAUUAAAGCUUGCUCUCCUUUUUGGGGGAGAAAUAGCACUGAUUUUAAUAAAGUGGCUAUAUAUUCUACUUGCAAAUCCAAAUGGUUUUCAUGAAAAUUGAAAACAAAAAAAAAAUUGCUAAACAGGACUAAGAUUGGAAUUCAUUAUUUGAAUCAAGCACUUAUGAUUGAAAAAUAUCAUUAAAACUGAUGAUUGGAGUUGCUUCCACUGUCUGCCUGCUUUUCACUUUGGUCACUGUGAUGCUGUAUUAAGACAAACUAUUGUACAAGGUCUCCUGCUGUGGCUAGGAAGGAUUCAUUCCUUGGCCCUUGUUUGUACAAGAUCUGUUUUACCGCCUUUCUCUGGCACAUCAGGGACUGGUGUGAGGCUGUAAGUGAGGCUCAAGACUCAUAAAGACUAGUCCUUUGAUCCGGCACAAAGGAUCCUUUUUCUGAUCUUUGCCUGAUGUCUUUUCUUCAUGUGUAUGCUCAUUUUUGGAUAGGAGAUGUAAAUGAGUUUGCCCAGCAGGGACCUUACAGAUUUCCACCUUUCUCUGUAGCCUGGGGAAUGUUUUUCCUGCUCAGGCUGUCAAGGCUCAUCUCACUCAAUCACUUCCCUGCUACUACCAACAUCUCAGGAAUAAUUGUCUCUCUGGUAAGUCUUGUUCUCUCUGUGCAGCAGAUGUCACCUGGUAACUGCAGCCUGUUAGACUGACUAAAUUCUUUGGACUUUCUAUGGGGGUGCAAAUAUAAAGGCCACAGGGCAUGGGUUUUUUGCUUUUGUGAGAGCACAUGACUAGAAUAAAAAUACUGCAGCAGAAAAGAUUAAAAAGCUCCUGUUCCCAAAGGUAACCAGUGCACUGGCAAUGAACACCCUUUCUACAGAAUCCUCCCCAGGAAGGUUAUCCAUAGCCUGGAGUCCACCGCUGCAACAUCCUCCUGCUCUGUUCCAGAGGUGGUAGGUCUGUUCCAUAUAGCAGCCAUAUCUCUCCCAGUGCCGAAACUGAGCAUGAUAAGCCAACAGAUUUUGUUAAAGUGAAAGUAGCAAUCCCCACCUCGCCUCAGACUUGCUGACAGCUUACAGGAGUUGAUGUUGCAUUGCUCUCACAAUGUCACCUCGUGGUGCAGUAGAAAUGUCACUUACUGAUGAAUGCAAGUGUUGGUUAGCAGAGGAAAGCAAUCAGAAAUUAAGUUCCCAUGAGAUUUACUGGAAUUGCAUUUGAGGUUACAUCUAAUUAUUUUGAACAGCUGUUAAGUCUUUUCCAUACUUUGAUAAUUUUACACAUCCUCUUUACAUUAUAAUGAAUAACUAUAGUUGAAUUUUUACAAGGAUAGAGAGUUUGGAGUGAUCUGUGGGCCGUGUUGAACAUCCACCAGUAGGAUGCUUUCUAAACUGUAAGAUAAAUGGCUUCAUAGGCUAGCACUAUCAUUCCCUCUUAAACCUUUUUAUGAAAUUGUAUUCCUAAUUAAUAUUUCAAAUUAAGUAACAAGUGAUUUUUUUUUUCCUGGAUGAGAAUUUUUUCUUUUUUUUUCUUCUUUACAAUAGAGAUGAAUGACUAAGAGUAAAUUUAUUUGUUCUGUUUUCUUUUCAUUUGGUCCUUGGUUGCCUUUUCUUGUUGCUCUUAACCCAAUAAUAUCUAUUUUCUCUGCUUCUAACUCUCCAUUCUUGGUCUUCGCAGUGGAUUCCUAUUUUAUCAUAUGCCUCUUUUUUUUUUUUUUCCUGAAGACUAUUAAGCAUCAGAAUGUAGCUGGAUAGAUAUGUAUGCAUUUCUAUGGGUGUUGAAUUAUUAUAAUGGUGGAAAAAUGUUUGCUGUCAUUACGUCUGCCUAAUCAAGGCUUUUUAAGCAUGACUUAGAGUGCUUACAAUAAUGUUAACAAUGAAGAACUCUCAUCAUCUUUGUGGCCCUCUGCUGGGCUGUCUCUAGAAGUUCACUGUCUAGAAAGACAGUGAAUCAAGAAUGAUCUGAGGAGCUCAGAACUGGACACACUACUCCAAAUGACCUCACCAGGGCAGAGUAGAGGGGGAGGAGAACCUCCCUCGACCUGCUGGCCAUGCUAUUUAUAAUGCACCCCAGGAUACUAUUGGCCUUCUUGGCCACAGGGGCAUGCUGCUGGCUCGUGGUCAACUUGUUGACCAUCAGGACACCCAGGUCCUUCUCUGCAAAGCUCCUUUCCAGCAGGUCAGCUCCUAACCUGUACUGAUGCAUGCAGUUAUCUCUGCAUAACCACAAACGUUCUCAAGCUCCUCACCCCUUCCCAAUCUGCCCAACAGCUUUUUUUCCCCCUCCUGAUACGGAUAAGCAGAGCUGGGAAGAAGCUGCGGCACUACACAUCUGCUGGGCAACGUGUUUUUCUGCAGGCCAGUAUGUAUUAUGUAUAUGUAUUGGGAUGUGGGAAACUUUCCCUUUCUUGUGACUCAAAGCAGCUUGAAACAGGACAAGGUAUCUGUGCCACUCCCACCCCUUUCAUACCACAUAUUUGAAGCCACUUCAAACUGACCAUGAUUUAUUUUUGCAGUUGUGAAAAUAUGAGCUCUUUAUGAACUUUAAUUUUCACCUACUUUUAUUCAUGGUGGUUUUCUGCUAUUUGCUCUAUAUAAGAAUAUUGCAAGCACCAACCCUCUGACAAGAUAGGUCUGACGCUUUUAAUACCCUAGUGGGCAGGCUGGCAUGCUCACGUUGAUAAAGGGCAUUUUCUGACUGGGAUUUAGCUGGGAUAGAGAUCAAAGGAUAUUGUAGGGGAUAUCAUGCUUAAAUUGCAAAUAGGAAGUUGUAUAUCAACUCUAGAGAGUAAAACUGAAAGAGUAUAAAUUUUAGUUAUUAUUAUUAUUAUUAUUUUGGCUCACAGAUCUGGGCAAGUCAGGAUAUUGAAUGCUAUGGUUACAUAUAAUAUGUAUAAUAAUAUAUAAUAAUGUUUAUAAUAAAUCCUUCACUCCAAAGCUCAUCAUUGUCAGUUGAUUGGCAACACAGUGUCUAUGCUGAUACUGUGAACAGAGCGUCUUCGCUACAGAAUGCCCUGACAUUCUUUGUCUGUAAGGCUACUUCAUGUAUUGCUGGAUCACUGCUGUUUGGUUCUUUUGGUGAGAAUUGUGUAUCAGUCAGUAGUGUAAUUCCAGGCAGUUGAUGUGUUGCUUUUAUGCAUAACAGCAGUUGGGACAGUUAGAACCAAUUCUGUAUACCACUUCCCAAGCAUUGCACUUAAUCCAAGCCUGACAAGUUAAAACAUGUCUCAUUCCCCUGGUUUUAUUGAGGUGUAUGUUCUUAAAUACAGAUGGAAUUUUGAUUGCAGCCAUCUGAGGCUGAAACAAUUUUGUAUUUCUGAUGUAUUUGUAGUCAUACCACAUAAACAGAAAAAGUCUUCAGACUUACUUUGAUUUGCUGAGUCCUAUUGCUUGAGAUGACCGGGAUGUUGGCAAAGAGCUAUGGCACUUUAUUAUAUUCUGACAAUACUUGCAUGUGAUGAUUGUUUCCCAUUCAACUUCUGCUGACUGGAUCAAAUACCAAAACACAGAGCUUUCCAUAAAAUGAUACAAUACAGAAAAACUUAACCAGAGUCCACUUUAAGCAGGAGAGAGACAUUACUCUCAUUCUUUUCCUGAGCAGAUCCUUAUCCCAGUCAGCCGGCAUGAAGGUGUAAUGGCCUUCAUUCCACCAUUCCAGCUUGACAGGAGCGUGCACCCACAAGUGUUGUGAGCAAAUCAGAACUGUUGGAAUACGUUAACAACCAAAUGUCAAACAGAAGGUGAGGUCUGGGUAUGGUGGCUCUCUGAACUGAAGGAGUCCUCUCCAGGCAGUGCUACUGUCUGGAGCCUGGUGCUGCAGUGAGGUGUCCAUGCCAAGGAAGUUCUCUAAUGUACAAAAGAGGGCUAAGCAAAAGUGUUGCUGCAACUUCUGUCUGAGCAGUGAAAGUUUUCCAAAGCUUAUUGCAGUUUCAUUUUUUCUCACUUAUUCCUGGAGUAAAAGCGCCUGCACUUUCAGAGUGAGUAGCUAUUAAAUGCCAUGAUAAUGCCAUGGUAACUAAGAAGUGAACAGAUUAGAGAAGAAUCACUUCUUUUUUUUACAGGCUGGUUUGAAUUGUUUUAAGACAUAUAGUUCCUAAUGCUCCAUUAGUGACUUAAAAUAUGCAGAGGUGGCUAUAAAUUUAAAGCAGGAGAUAACCCUGUAAAUAUAUCCUUUAUUUUGAGAAAAAGGAACACUGCAUUGGCAUGGAAGAUAGUCUUUUAACAGUUCAGAAAUCAUUCUGCCAUUUCGUGACUGAGAUUUUGAGAAAUAGCUGGUAAAGGCUUCCCUUUCAGGAGUCUAUCAGCACCUAAAAAUCUCAGGCAGAAGUAAAAGCGCUGAUCUUUGAACCCAGCAGGAAGAAGGAUGGCACCUGGUUCAAAGUGAAAAGAGCUCCGUGUUAAAAUGAAAGCCUUUUUCGGAGAAAAGGAGUCUCUCCUGAAAUAAGGGAGUUCACUAGAAUAUGAGAUCACUGUAGCAGGAGUAACCCCGUCUGUCACAUUCUGUGAUGGUGAACUCUAUUUGCUGUUUUGUGUUCCAUACUCUGCCAUUGCCCUGUUCACGUGCAGAAUCAGGAACCAAUGCUUUCCAAAGCGUGGAUGGCCAAAUUUCUGUUGACAAAGAGCUCUCAGCAGAGGUGAACCCCUCAGAGCAGGUACUCGAACUCAGCAACCUUUCUGCACUCUCACAGCCACUGGGUGAGUUAGAUCACUGUGAUCUCACGGGCAGCUUUGUAACCUCUCACUGCAGAGAUAAACAAGGGAAUUAAUCAGCUGGGGAAUUAAUUGUAGCUAUGUCAGAGCAACGCUUCGUCUGAGAAAUGAACUUGACUUUACAAAAAGCCCUCUGACAUUUCAGCUCUAGGAGCAAUCUCUGCUUGCUGAUGCAAACAGUUGCUCGUUGGAGGGGGUUGGUGUUUCUCUGAGGUGUAAUAUGAAACAUGAAUGACUUAGGUCUUGUGAGGGACUGUUUGACUCAGUGAUGCCUUUCUCUGCUGCAUACUUCUGCUGAAGCAAAGUAAAGGAACUGCUCUUGAAAUGAAAUAAAUUCAAAGAAUAGGAAACUGGAAGCCGUGAGAAACUUCCAUGCCUUGGUUGAGGAGCUGCCCUUUCACAAGAGGGACUUGACCUGCAACAAUGGUACAGAGUGGUACAGGGCAGUGGUAAGAAGGUUUGGCUGCAGAGCCUUGCUGAUCUCUGUCAGAUCAACUGUUUUAUGGCCCUUCCUCUUUUUAAAGCUUCUCCACACCUGCCCCUGAGAAACAGUGCUUCUCAGAAUGCGAUUUCCCCAACAUAUGCUUUACAAAAGUAGCAGAUCCCAUUUUAAAUAUAUUCUGGAUUUAUUUUCAAGUAUUUUCAUGCAUUCACUUGAGACCCGCUUGUAAUGAUGCUUUUCUUGUGCAGAAGGUGUUUUUGUAUUAUUCUUUAGCUUUCUUCCUCCUCCUGUUUUAGCUGUUAGUGCUGUGCAAAAAAGCUUGAACAAACCCUGCCAAAACAAUAAGUAGGAAGGGUGCAGCCUCAGCCUUUCUGAACUUCCUUUGCCCUCACAAUCAGUUUAAUACUUUUGUCUAAGUGUUAAAAACUGGUUUGAUUCAGUAAAGCAGGAAAAAAAUCAGCUAGAAUAAUGCAAAUACAGUGCUCUAAGUGUUGUUUCUGCUCCUGCUGAAAAUAUGAAAAGUUAUAAUAAUUCAUGAUAUUUUCCUCUUUUCUCCAUCUUCAUUCCCCUCAGUAGGGAUCAUUCCAACCUCAAAAGCAUUUAAGAUAUCUCCCGUGUUCUUUAGCUUUGGCUGGAUGUUUUUUCUACUAGUUUUCAUAUGUGGACUUUUGCAACUGAGACUUGCUUUCAUAGAAUCACCCAGGUUGGAAAAGGCCUCCAAGAUCACCCCGUCCAGCUGUCCAUCAUCAGCAGCAUUUCCCAUACCAUACCAGACCAUAUCCCUCAGUACAGUAUCUAAAUUUUUCUUGAACACCUCCAGGGCUGGUGACUUCACCACCUCCCAGGGCAGCCCAUUCCAGUGCCUGACCGCUCUUUUGGAGAAAAAUUAUUUCCUAAUGUCCAACCUAUCAUCAGUUUCAGACGUUGCUUUGGGAGUGCGUGCAGCAGGCUUAUUACUCAGCCCAGAAGCAAGGACAGCACCUUGCUGAGCUGUGAGGUUAAUAGUGUAGAUGUGGCUGGUUGUUCCUUCUUAAAUCCCUUCUGCUACUUAGCCCUGAGAAGGCUCUAAUACCAAGCAGCCAAGGGAAACAUUUCCAAAGAACUGGCAUAUCAAUCCUACACUGUAUGAACAUUAAAAGCCUAUCUCGUGGAGAACAUGUGGCUGCCCCAGCUGGCUGGGAGGAUGGAAAGUGAUUCUUUCACAGGAUAAACUGGAUUUCAGCUCAUGGAAAUUGGCACAGCUCUAACUGCGUUAGCCAUUGGUCUUGGGCAGAUAUCAGCCAAUUCUGGCAACCUGUGUUCAAGGCGACCCAUUUCUGAGGCACUUUGUGUUGAAAUGAUUGCUCCAUGGGGAUGGUAAGAUGAUGUGAAACAGAAACGUUUUUAAUGAACUCAUAAAUCCAUAUGUGCCCAUUAUUUUUAUUCUGUGUGCUUAGAUUCAGAGAAAUUUGUUUCAGAACCUGAACUAUUCUGGCAACUGUCAGCCUGCAAGCACAUAAUGCAAAAAAAAUUACAGAUUAGGAAUACCAGUGAGGGAGUUCACCUUCUUUUCUAUUUUUUUUUCCAAAUUACCUCUCAAGAUUUGUGAUGAAUUUAAUAAAAAAAGAAAAUAAACAAAGAAAACACCAUAUCCAACAACUACGCCUAAAAAAACCUCUGGAAAUUCCUUCUUUUUGGUCUUAGUCGUUUGGAGAAAAAUCUCUGGCAAUGUAAACUGUUGUAGUAUUUAUUUACAAAAUUGUUUUUACUAUUUUGUGGCUAUUUUCUGGAUAUGAAAGGCUGCAUCCAUGCUUUCAGUAUACCCGGGACUUCCCUUGGAGCUGUACAUAACCUGCUCUCCACACUGACAGAACUGAAGAUAUCAGAAUCUGUGGAAAUGAAACCUGUGCACUAAUCAGAUUGUUGUAUUUUAGAGUUUUAAAUGUCCAGCUGACAUAAAUGAGGCACUAACAAUACUAUUAAUUUCAUAAUGUUAGCUGUGGGUUUUUUAAUUUUAUCUAGAAACUCUAUGUUGUUUUUGAAGGAGACCUUUAUUUAUGUUAAGAUGUCAUUGCUUAAAUGUAAUUAAAAAUGUUGGGCACUUUGCCUAACAUAACAGUCCAGCAGCCACGGAUCUGCAGAAACACACUGCGUUGGGCAGGGAACUCUUUUAAUUAGCGAAGAGUAAGAGUUUGUUAAAUUAAUUAUUAAUUAACAGUCUUUCUAGCAAUAGCAGCUUUUAAUGUGCUGUGAUAAUACUGAAUUACGCCACACAGACCCCAGUCAUGUUUUCAAGGAUCUGUUAUAUAGUAUUUUGACCAUACGGUCCAUUGUAAUUUUUAGUUAUAGUCAACGCCUUCAUAUUUUUGUGGCAUUUCUUUUGAAUAGUUCUUCUAUUUUCUUAUGGGUGUUGUCUUUCUUACUUGAGAGGAUGAGCAUAAAUACAAAAGAGGGCAAAAUCAUUUCAUAUUCUUUAAAUUACUUCAUUACAAAAAAGGAGAAAUGUGUAAAAUCAGGGGAGAGGUGCUUAAAUUAAAGGCUGUUAUCCUCUAUGCCUAUAGCCAGAUUUGUCUGCUUUGAAUUCACUACAAAUACUAAGCACAUACAAGUUCUGUUGACUGCAUCUUAAGCAAGUUCAAACACUUACUGAAUGUAUAAAGCUCUUCAGGUUUCUAAGGAUGAGCAUUAUUUAGGUAUACAUAAAAUCAGUUUUAAGGGGAACAAGCGUAGAUAAUACAUACCUGAAAAAUGUGAGUGUAACGUGAGGAAAAUCUUCCAGUGAAGAGCAGAAUAACAAUCAGUUCUAGAAGCAGUUUCUAUUGAGAUCGUACAAGGAAAUGCUACAGAAUAAGAAGCCUAUUUUUUAAGGAAAUAAUAUCCACUGAAAGCAAAUCAAAGAAUACCUCCAAAUAAACCAGUAAUAAUGAUUUUUGUUAGUAGUUUUCAGAAGUUUGAAAACUCGCAUGUCACCUCAAGGAUCAUACUAUUACUGAGACUGCUGCAGUUGGUGGAGUCCCCUUGGUCUAUGAAACUCCUGCAAGCCACCCCAGACACUUAAAGCUUUCAUUAAAAAGUUGCCGCUGAGGGUAAAAGCAGGAAUGAUUUUCUCUUGGGGUACAUAUUAUCCAAGUCUGCUCUCUAAUUUAUUCUAAACUGCCUUCUCUUAGUGAAAAAUAAUAAUAUGAAGCUUGGAAGCAAAGGUAUUAUGGAAAUUAAAAGGUUUCACACAAAAAAACAGCUAUUUCCAGUUUCCAUACAGAAGUGGCAUCUGUACAUACACAAAUAAGAAACUCUUUCCCUUUUUUUUUUCAUCUUCCAGUCCUAACUGUAACAUUUCUGGAUCUAAUUGUGACACUCCUUGAAUUCCUGUUGAAUUCACUGCUAGCCACAGGUGAUCAGCUAGCCUGGUCCUUCCCUGCCUUCUGCGCUCUAGGAAUCCUCACUGUUUGGACCUGACAGCCAUCAUCAAGCUAUUUGUCACAUCCAGUUGCAUUUUUGGACUUUUAUAGGAAAAAUGAAUUCCACUAUCCGCUGGAACCAAACAAAAUUGUCUGACUCUUUCACCUCUGUCUCCCAAAAACAUACCACUGCCAUAUUCACAGUCCUGGUCAGCUUCCAGUGCUGAUCUUGCUCCUAACCUUUAACAAAACUGAUAGCUUGAGACCAAGAUUACUCAGAUAAAGACAAAUUUAAAGUUAUGAACCUCUCCCAUGGCUAUGUGUGUUGAAAAGUGCAGACUACAAACCUCAGAAGUCAAGGAUGUGAAGAUAUAGCUUAGUAAAUAAUGGCUUCAGCCUAAAGGCAGGCUCCAUCCCGAUCAUUUAAAUACUUGUUCUUUUGCUCACUCUUUGACAGGUGAUGGGUUAUUUCUGAAGUGAAGUGUUUCAGUGGUAAGGUUUGUAGUGUGAAUUCAGAAGCUAUUGUACCAGUACAAAUGAGAGGAUGGUAAACUGAAAUCAAGAGGAAAAAUCAAGAACACCUUAUGCUAGGUUUGCCACCAAGGCAAUUGGUUUUUGAAAGCUAAAGAGAAAGUGAUCUUGAAUUGCCUGUCAACAAAUGCUGCCAAAUCUUUUUGACAUGUAAAAUGGAAAUGCUGUAGAGGUUUUUUGUUGCAGUUGUUGUUUUUAACUCUUGAAUGCCUUUCAAGUCUUCUCUCCAAUAACACCAAUUACCACAUGGUAAUUUAGGCAGUUUUGAGAGGCUUUAGAAAUUUAUGCAUAAAUUUGUUACCCAUAAAGGCACCUGAGUAUUCUUGAGUUGGCUUGAAAGAUAAGCCAGUACUGCAGUGGUUACAUGGCACUCGAAUGUAUGCAUGUUCAUGUGAGUUUUAUCUUACAGCUUCCAUGGGAAUUCUAUUCAAAAUUGGAUAUUCUCUCCAAGUGCUGUUUUUUUCACUUAAAAAGUUCAUGAAGAGCCUAAGAAAUAAAAUCAAUAUCAUUUUCAAGGCUGGUUGGAAAACAGCCUUGGAUCAAAACUGAUCAAUCCUAUCACUAUUUGUAACCCAUAGGAAAAACUUGAAAUGAGAAUGAAACCUGCCUGGCAUUAAAGACUAGUAAUGGGCUGUAAGAACAAUUUUUUUUCCAGAUCCUGGUGGAAAUAAGAAGAAAAAGAGAACUGACAAAUGAUAGAUGUUACAUUCCCCUAGGAGUUGAUGUUCCCACAAAUAACCAGCAAAACAAUAGCUGAGGAAGUGAUUGCUCUUUUCUAACAUCUGAAGAACGAUAACUUGUAAAGGAAAUAAGUUAUUUUAAGGUGGGAAAAUAACGUGGACCGUGAGCAGUCCAAACAGGUACUGCUUUCUCCUGGAAUGUUUCUAACAUAUUUACUUGUCCCCUCUAUUUCAGAUUUUCUGCUUAUUGUAGCAGUGUUUCUGGUGAAACACACCAAAAUGGAAAAGAGUUCUGGGAAAAGACUGUGUGAGAUCUUCAAGUAUGGUUUCCAUCAGGAAGAUUUUGGGACCAUUGCUGUGAGUAGUUUUACAACUGGAGGAUGGCCAUAGUGCGUGAGAUUGAAAUUCCAUCCAGAAUAUUACUUCUGAGAGCAGCCUAGGCAAGCAUGGUGAACUGGAGCAAGUCAGGUGAAGUCCCUGGUGAUUGGAAAAAAGGCAAUGUCACACCCAUUUUUAAGGAGGAUAGAAAUUAUGACCCAGAGACCUACUGAUCUGUCAGCCUCUCCUCUGUGCCAGGGAAGAUCCUUGAGCCAAUUCUCCUGGAAGCUAUGCUAAAGCUCAUGGAAGAGAGGGAGGUGAUCUGGGAGAACCAGCAUGGCUUUACCAAGGGCAGGUCCUGCCUGACCAACCUUGUCUCUUUAUGAUGGUGUAAUUGUAUCAGCGAACAAAGGAAGAGCCACUGAUGUCAUCUGGCCAAACAUCAGUAAAGCCUUUGACAUGGUGCUCCAUAAUGUUCUUCCCUCCAAACUGGAAAGAUAUGGAUUUGAUGGGUAGACUAUCCAAUGGCUGAGUAACUGGUUACGAGAUCAUACCCAGAGAGUGAUGGUCAAUGGCUCAAUGUCCAGAUGGAAAUCAGUGACAAGCGGUGUCCCUCAGGAGUCAGGACUGGAAUUGGUGCUCUUUAAUGUCUUCAUCAAUGCCAUUGUCAGUGGGAUCGAGAGCAAGUUUGUGAAUGACACCAAGCUGUGUGGUGUGGUCAGUACAGCCAAGGGACAGGAUGUCAUUCAGAGGAACCUAAACAGGCUGAGCAGUGGAACCAGGUGAAGCUCAUGAGGUUCAACAAAUCCAAGCGCAAGGUCUCGCACCUGGAUCAAGACAACCCCCACUACCAGCACAAGCUGGGGGAUGUAAGGAUGGAGCACAGCCCUGCCGAAAAAGACUGGGGAGUACUGGUGGAUGGCAAGCUUAACAGAAGGCAGCAAUGUAUCUGCACAGCUCAGAAAGCCAACCCUAUCCUGGACUGCAUCAAAAGAAGCGUGGCCAGCAAGAAGGGGGAGGUGAUCCUGCCCCUCUGCUCUGUGCUGGGAAGACCUCACCUGCAGUACUGUGUCCAGAUGUGGAAUCUUCAGUAUAAUAGAGAUGUGGACCUGUUGGAGUGUGUCCAGAGGAGGGCCACAAAAAUAAUCCCAGGGAUGGAACCCCUCUCCUAUAAGGACAGGCUGAGAGAGCUGGGGCUGUGCAGCCUGGGGAAGAAGAGGCAGCGGGAAGACCUGAGCGCUAGCAGCCUUUCAGUAUCUGAAGGUGGGCUACAAGAAAGAAUUGGACAGACUCUUUAACAGGGAGAUCUGGGAGACUCUUUAACAGAGUCUGUUGUGACAGGACAAGGGGAGAUGUUUUGAAACUAAAAGAGGGGAGAUUGAGACUGGAUAUAAAGAAGUUUUUUACAAUAGGAGUGGUGAGGAACUGGCACAGGUUGCCCAGAUAUGUAGUGGAUGUCCUGUCCCUGGAGACACUCAAUGUCAAGCUGGAUGGGGCUCUGAGCACCUGAUGUAGCUGUAGGUGUCCCUGUUCACCAUAGGGGAGUUGGACUUGAUGACCUUUAUGGGCCCCUUCCAACUCAAAAGUUUCUAUCUAGUGAAUAUAUCCUGGUACUAUCUUAACUGAAUUUUCCACUCCAGCAAUAAGCACUUCAAGUAAUAACUUCAAGCACAGUGAAGCUCUUAUCUCCAUGGUUGCUUUGGUCACCCCUGCAACCAGUGUAAAUAUGUUACAUGUAGAAAGGUUUUAUUUAUUUGUGUUUGUUUUUUUAAUGCUGCUAACUGCUAAUUUCACUUAGUGUUCUUUUUUUUUUCCCCUAUUUUUCUUAUUGCUUAGUGUUAGCUUCAUUAUUUUUGUUUGUUUGUUUGUUUUAAAGAAUAAACAUGCCCACCUUCUCUCUCA